rnacentral:rRNA from 1 species
UCAGGCCUAACACAUGCAAGUCGAACGGUAACAGAAAGUGCUUGCACUUUGCUGACGAGUGGCGGACGGGUGAGUAAUGCUUGGGAAUUUGCCUUGAGGUGGGGGACAACAGUUGGAAACGACUGCUAAUACCGCAUAUUGUCUACGGACUAAAGGGGGCUUCGGCUCUCGCCUUUAGAGAAGCCCAAGUGGGAUUAGGUAGUUGGUGAGGUAAAGGCUCACCAAGCCGACGAUCCCUAGCUGGUCUGAGAGGAUGAUCAGCCACACUGGAACUGAGACACGGUCCAGACUCCUACGGGAGGCAGCAGUGGGGAAUAUUGCACAAUGGGCGCAAGCCUGAUGCAGCCAUGCCGCGUGUGUGAAGAAGGCCUUCGGGUUGUAAAGCACUUUCAGUCGUGAGGAAGGGUUAGUAGUUAAUACCUGCUAGCUUUGACGUUAGCGACAGAAGAAGCACCGGCUAACUCCGUGCCAGCAGCCGCGGUAAUACGGAGGGUGCGAGCGUUAAUCGGAAUUACUGGGCGUAAAGCGUACGCAGGCGGUUAGUUAAGUCAGAUGUGAAAGCCCCGGGCUCAACCUGGGAACUGCAUUUGAAACUGGCUAACUAGAGUGCGGCAGAGGGUGGUAGAAUUUCAGGUGUAGCGGUGAAAUGCGUAGAGAUCUGAAGGAAUACCGAUGGCGAAGGCAGCCACCUGGGCCGACA